CUACCCGCAAACGAAGUAAUAGACAAAAUAGAUGCUACUUUUGCUCUUGCUUAUGAGAGAAGUCCCUCAUAUAAUUUCAUAUAUCCUUCGCCUUCGAAUGUUGUCUAUUCCAAAUCUAUUGGUCAUUUAGUACUGAAGAAAAAUGGAAAUUCCAACACAGAGGAUAAAUUUAAAGCAAGGAUGAUAAUAUCCAUUUUAGAAGCGGUACGGAAAUUCUUAAGUUAGGGGAAAACCGUUACAAAGAGAGUUAUUUUACCAUUUGUCGAACGAGUUCGAUAAACAAGCUAUAUUAGAUAAUAGGCUACAUGACAUUGCUAUCAUGUUGAAUUGUAG
rnacentral:lncRNA from 1 species